UUUUGCUCAGAUUAGGUGCUGCAUCCAAAUCCCUCCCUGUUUUACCCUCCCAAUUGGCUUCCCCAUUCCGUCGCCUCUUCCUUCGUUCUACCUUCGUUCUACCUUUGCCUCCCGAUUGGCUUCCCCAUUCCUUCGCCUCUUCCUCUGUCUCUCAACCUCUUCUUUUCUUUUUCUUUACAACCAGUCACUCUUUCGUUUUGCCUUCUCAACCAGUCGACCUUUUUCUUUUCUUUUUCUCUGUGUCACUCCUUCGAUUGCUCUCAAUUGAUGGGUUUCCAGGUUACUGCUACUGAAAGGUAAAGGUUUCUAACUCUCUUUUGCUCUCAAUUAUCCUGUAAUUGUUCUAACUCUCUUCUUCUCUCUGUACUGAGUUUUAAUGGCUGUCUUGUUAGUGUCUUCUUCAUUGCACUUUCAGGGCCUGAUCAUAUAAACUUCAUCGAAACACGGA
rnacentral:lncRNA from 1 species